rnacentral:rRNA from 1 species
CCUACGGGUGACUGCAGUGAGGAAUAUUGGUCAAUGGACGCAAGUCUGAACCAGCCAUGCCGCGUGCAGGAAGACGGCUCUAUGAGUUGUACACUGCUUUUGUACGAGGGUAAACGCACAUACGCGUAUCUGUCUGAAAGUAUCGUACGAAUAAGGAUCGGCUAACUCCGUGCCAGCAGCCGCGGUAAUACGGAGGAUUCAAGCGUUAUCCGGAUUUAUUGGGUUUAAAGGGUGCGUAGGCGGUCGGAUAAGUUAGAGGUGAAAUCCCGAGGCUCAACUUCGGAAGUGCCUCUGAUACUGUUCGGCUAGAGAGUAGUUGCGGUAGGCGGAAUGUAUGGUGUAGCGGUGAAAUGCUUAGAGAUCAUACAGAACACCGAUUGCGAAGGCAGCUUACCAAGCUACUUCUGACGUUGAGGCACGAAAGCGUGGGGAGCGAACAGGAUUAGAUACCCCUGUAGUC